rnacentral:rRNA from 1 species
GACGAACGCUGGCGGCGUGCUUAACACAUGCAAGUCGAACGGAAAGGCCUCUUUCGGGGGGUACUCGAGUGGCGAACGGGUGAGUAACACGUGAGUAACCUGCCCUUGACUUUGGGAUAACUUCAGGAAACGGGGGCUAAUACCGGAUAGGAGCUCCUGCUGCAUGGUGGGGGUUGGAAAGUUUCGGCGGUUGGGGAUGGACUCGCGGCUUAUCAGCUUGUUGGUGGGGUAGUGGCUUACCAAGGCUUUGACGGGUAGCCGGCCUGGGAGGGUGACCGGCCACAUUGGGACUGAGAUACGGCCCAGACUCCUACGGGAGGCAGCAGUGGGGAAUAUUGCACAAUGGGCGGAAGCCUGAUGCAGCAACGCCGCGUGCGGGAUGACGGCCUUCGGGUUGUAAACCGCUUUCGCCUGUGACGAAGCGUGAGUGACGGUAAUGGGUAAAGAAGCACCGGCUAACUACGUG